rnacentral:rRNA from 1 species
UACGGGGGGGGCAAGCGUUGUUCGGAAUUACUGGGCGUAAAGGGCGCGUAGGCGGCCUUCUAAGUCGAACGUGAAAUCCCCGGGCUCAACCCGGGAACUGCGUCCGAUACUGGAAGGCUUGAAUCCGGGAGAGGGAUGCGGAACUCCAGGUGUAGCGGUGAAAUGCGUAGAUAUCUGGAGGAACACCGGUGGCGAAGGCGGCAUCCUGGACCGGCAUUGACGCUGAGGCGCGAAAGCCAGGGGAGCAAACGGG